UACGUAGGGGGCAAGCGUUGUUCGGAAUUAUUGGGCGUAAAGCGCGUGUAGGCGGCUUUGCAAGUCGGGUGUGAAAGCCCUCAGCUCAACUGAGGAAGUGCGCCCGAAACUGCAGAGCUUGAGUACCGGAGAGGAUGGUGGAAUUCCCCAAGUAGAGGUGAAAUUCGUAGAUAUGGGGAGGAACACCGGUGGCGAAGGCGACCAUCUGGACGGAUACUGACGCUGAGACGCGAAAGCGUGGGUAGCAAACAGG
rnacentral:rRNA from 1 species